rnacentral:sRNA from 1 species
CGCUGUCCAGGGAGGCUGAGGCGAGAGGUAGCUGUCCGGGUGGGGAGCCCGCACUACCUUUUUCCUCUUCCUCCUCCUCCGGGUGAGGGGAGCGAAGGUUGGGGGUCCCCGAGCCCAUGGACCAGGAGGAGGCGGAGGCCGCCGAGAGCCGGGGCCCCGCUAUGUGGCCCUGAGCCCCGAGGGUCCUGUAGUGGCUGCAGUGAGCACAAAGGUGAAAUGAAGGAAGUCAAAAUUGAUAAUCUCUGGCGGGAUUCCAGGAACUCUUUGGCUUCUGGUCUCAUAGUGGUUGUGUCCAACUGACAGUAGUUGCAGUUAGUGAAGAGCAUUAGCUGACUCUCCUUGUGCUCUCUCCUGUGAUUAACAGACUGAAAACUAGGAACAAAUUGGAAAGACGACCUCCCAGAACAAUCUGUUCAUUUUUCCAGCUAUUUGGAAAACAGUGUCUGCAAAUAUAAGCAAAGCUAUU